UACGUAGGGUGCAAGCGUUGUCCGGAAUUAUUGGGCGUAAAGAGCUCGUAGGCGGUCUGUCGCGUCGGAUGUGAAAACCCAGGGCUCAACCCUGGGCCUGCAUUCGAUACUGGCAGACUAGAGUUCGGUAGGGGAGACUGGAAUUCCUGGUGUAGCGGUGAAAUGCGCAGAUAUCAGGAGGAACACCCGUGGCGAAAGCGGCUCUCUGGGACGGUACUGACGCUGAGACGCGAAAGCGUGGGGAGCAAACAGG
rnacentral:rRNA from 1 species